AUUGAACGCUGGCGGCAGGCCUAACACAUGCAAGUCGAACGAGUGGCGGACGGGUGAGUAAUGUCUGGGAAACUGCCCGAUGGAGGGGGAUAACUACUGGAAACGGUAGCUAAUACCGCAUACCAUCGGAUGUGCACAGAUGGGAUUAGCUAGUAGGUGGGGUAACGGCUCACCUAGGCGACGAUCCCUAGCUGGUCUGAGCGGAUGACCAGCCACACUGCAACUUAGACCCGGUCCAGACCCCUACGGGAUGCAGCAGUGGGGAUUAUUGCACAAUGGGCGCAAGCCUGAUGCAGCCCUGCCGCGUGUAUGAAGAAGGCCUUCGGGUUGUAAAGUACUUUCAGCGAGGAGGCGUUACUCGCAGAAGAAGCACCGGCUAACUCCGUGCCAGCAGCCGCGGUAAUAC
rnacentral:rRNA from 1 species